UGAUAAUGAUGAUGAUGAUGAUGAUGAUGAUGAUGAUGAUGAUGAUGAUAACUGUGCAAGGAAACUGAUGAAUUAUGGAUUCAUCAUAUCCUCAGCUGCUGUAAGAAAAUUGCACAGACAGACUACAAACAGAGGCACAACUCUGUGGCCCAAAUGAUUCAUUGGAACUUAUGCCUCAAGUACCACCUCCCAGCAACAAAGAACUGGUGGGAUCACAAACCUGCAAAAGUCUUGGAAAAUGAGCACGCAAAGAUACUGUGGGACUUCCGGAUCCAGACUGACAAAGUUCUGGAACACAACACAACACACUUGGAUAAGUGAGACUCUACUGUACUAACCGAAACCAAUACUACUUAGCUUCCAAGACCAGACAGGCUCUGAUACCUUUGAAGAAAUGAGAGAAAAUCUGGGAAAAAAAUAAUGUCCUACAGUUCUAUACAUUCCUGCCUCCUCUGUGUGUUUAUCUCAUCCUUUGUGGUUUUUUCCUCCUAUCUUCUCCUUGCAUCGGAUUGGAUCCCAAUGACUUGCUAAAUUUGGCCCAACUGCGGCAACCUUUCAGAUAGAAGGAAGUUGGCAAUGCAUUCGGUGCAAGUAAAAGAAGGAAAACAAGCCCCGAGGCGGGGACUGAAACUGUGUUUCCCCGAUCUGUCUCCGCGGAAUAUGCCCCAUAGGCUUUCAUUACUCAACGUUGGUCCCACAAGACAAAGGGAGCAACCAGGUGGAAGAAGACUCACCCUGAGUGUGGGAUCUGUGAAUGACAGCUUGGCUCUCGCUGUGUCUUAUCGUGGACCUGUUUUGGAUGACUGCACCCUCUUCAGACCUUGGAUCGGAAUUUGACCUUGCUACUGCCUUCGCCCUGUGAUUGAUGACUACUAUCGGCUUUUGACUCCUGGCUUGCUCUUUGGACACCGCUGUUAUCUCCUGAUCUGACCUUGGAAUCCCGGACGACGUCUUUUCACCAUCCUUUUGGAGCCUUCGGCUUUAUCCACAUUGUGGAAGCAGUCUACUGCAUUCUUAGUUUGUUUGUUUGUUUCCUGACCAAUUUGGUGUUUUCUUUUGGGAACUGUUCCUUUGAAAACUACAGAGCCGGCUGGCAGAGCUUGGACUCAGAAAGUGCAGUUUGCACUAAGUUUGUUUAGCUUUGUUUUUACCUGCUUGUGUUGCUGAAUUACCUUUUGGCUUAUCUGCUGAAUAAACUCUAUUUUUGUUCGCUAAUUGGCGUCUGACUCUUGACAAAUACAGUAGAGUCUCCCUUAUCCAAGCUAAACGGGCCGGCAAAAGCUUGGAUAAGCGAAUAUCUUGGAUAAUAAGGAGGGAUUAAGGAAAAGCCUAUUAAACAUCAAAUUAGGUUAUGAUUUUACAAAUCAAACACCAAAAC
rnacentral:lncRNA from 11 species